GACGUCUACGAGUUUGAUCCUGGCUCAGGGUUAACGCUGGCGAUAUGUAUAAUACAUGCAAGUCGAACGCUUAAGCUUGCUUAAGAGUGGCGAACGGCUGAGUAACACGUUGGUAGCUGCCCCAAACUCAGGGAUAACCCGCCGAAAGGCGUGGCUAAUACCGGAUGGUCCCGAAAGGGUAAAGAUUUUUCGGUUUGGGAGGCACCUGCGGCCUAUCAGCUUGUUGGUGAGGUAACAGCUCACCAAGGCAAUGACGGGUAGCUGGUCUGAGAGGAUGAUCAGCCAGAAUGGGGACUGAGACACGGCCCAUACUCCUACGGGAGGCAGCAGUAAAGAAUCUUCCACAAUGGGGGAAACCCUGAUGGAGCAAUAUCGCGUGGGUGAUGAAGGUCGAAAGAUUGUAAAGCCCUUUUCUGAGGGAAUAAUUAUGAAGGUACCUCAGGAUAAGCACGGCUAACUCCGUG
rnacentral:rRNA from 1 species